rnacentral:lncRNA from 1 species
GCUCUUCAAAACGGACGAAUGCACAUCAAACUUCCACUGCAACUCCGAUCUGAAAAAUGGAGUUCUUAGACGAAGAAAGCAGACCCAGAUUCCUCUUUCAAUCCCGCCCAAUUCCUUCCCAUUCAGAAAUUGAAGAGAAUCUCAAUUCCUUUUCCCUCCACAAACCCACUCUUUUCCUUUUCCUUUCUCUUUCUCUUUCCUUCCUUCUCUUUUCCCUCUCUCUCCUUUACUUCCAAUCCGAGCC